GAACGAAGCACUUGUGCUUAGUGGCGAAUGGGUGAGUAACACGUACUUAAUUACCUCUAGGUUUGGGACAACAUUUGGAAACGAAUGCUAAUACCGAAUAUUCCUUUUCCUCGCAUGGGGAACUGGUAAAAGGCCCGUUUGGGUCGCCAAGAGAUGAGAGUGCGGUACAUUAGUUAGUUGGUAGGGUAAUGGCCUACCAAGACGAUGAUGUAUAGCGGGGUUGAGAAGCUGAACCGCCACACUGGGACUGAGAUACGGCCCAGACUCCUACGGGAGGCAGCAGUAGGGAAUAUUCCACAAUGAGCGAAAGCUUGAUGGAGCGACACAGCGUGCAGGAUGAAGGUCUUCGGAUCGUAAACUGCUGUUAUAAGGGAAGAAAAACCGGUGUAGGAAAUGACAUCGGCUUGACGGUACCUUAUCAGAAAGCACCGGCAAACUAUGUGCCAGCAGCCGCG
rnacentral:rRNA from 1 species